CCUGGCUGCGAUCGGCUAUUCUCGAUCUACUUUUCGAGGCGAGCCGCAACGCGUCUCAAACAAGCCUACCUAGCUCACCAGCAGCCUCUGCGUGACCGGAAGCCGUGAAGCCUCCAUCAGAGAAGAAUAAAAAGAGAUGAAGAGUAAAGCCGACGAGGAAGAAUACUGGAACACUCAAGACAAAGCCUUCCACCUCGAUGAUGAAGACGACGAGUUCAGCCGGUGGAGACCUGAGUCGAAGCAGGCAGAGGUACAGCUUCCGCGCGGCUGGUGGAGUGGAAAGAUGAUGAUCGUACAUGAGAGAGCUGGAGAAGAUCAGCUGAGAUGCGGAG